CUCCCCUGGCGCUGUGAACUUUAGCUGGGCCGCCGCCUGUCAGCCCCAGAAAGCGUUAAAGGUGCAGCAGCUCGCGCCAGCCUCCGCAGCCGCCUUUGUACGCGUGAUUUAUGACUUCAAUCUUGGUUCACCGAGAGUUCACACGGCUUUCGCUGCUGUUGAAGCCUUGUUUUCUCUAGAUCAGAGAGAUGGCUUCUGGAUUCAUCUUUCCCUGCAAUCCAGCUUCUCCUCCUGGGGCCCUCAUACUGGAGACUGGGAUCAUCAUCCAGGCUUUUGCACUGGGCCAGGAAUUUGGGAGUCAUCCUGGAUCCGUCUGCCCCUGUCAACCUUUCGCUGUCAACGGAUAUUUAUUGGGCGUCCUCAACAGCCAGGCCCUGUUCAUGGUACUGAAGAACAGCUUGUAUAAAACAACCCUGCCCUCACAGGGCGAUCACCAGUGACCUGUGGUGUGGAGUCUCCUUUUACCUAUGUCUCCUCCUUCCCACUGUCACCAUCCUUGGUCCUCCUCUGUCACCUGGAAUACUCCACUUGGUAACCAGCAUGAUCUUAUAACGCUAGUUUUACCCUUGUCAGCACUUUGCCAAAAACCUCAAAUAAAGACUUUUUUUAAAAUGUGCAAUGGAAAAAUAAAGUUAUAAAUUAUAUCAUAA
rnacentral:lncRNA from 1 species